UAGGGAAUCUUCGGCAAUGGGGGCAACCCUGACCGAGCAACGCCGCGUGAGUGAAGAAGGUUUUCGGAUCGUAAAGCUCUGUUGUAAGAGAAGAACGUGUGUGAGAGUGGAAAGUUCACACAGUGACGGUAACUUACCAGAAAGGGACGGCUAACUACGUGCCAGCAGCCGCGGUAAUACGUAGGUCCCGAGCGUUGUCCGGAUUUAUUGGGCGUAAAGCGAGCGCAGGCGGUUUAAUAAGUCUGAAGUUAAAGGCAGUGGCUUAACCAUUGUUCGCUUUGGAAACUGUUAAACUUGAGUGCAGAAGGGGAGAGUGGAAUUCCAUGUGUAGCGGUGAAAUGCGUAGAUAUAUGGAGGAACACCGGUGGCGGAAGCGGCUCUCUGGGCUGUAACUGACGCUGAGGCUCGAAAGCGUGGGGAGCAAACAGG
rnacentral:rRNA from 1 species